GAAAAAUUUUAAAAAUUAUUGGUGUUUUCAGAACUUUUCUUUCAAUUAUGAUAUUUUUUUUUCUAAUUUUAAUACAUGAACAUGAUAUUUCCAUAUCUGUAUCAAUUCAAUUUAGUUCUUUACCCACUCUACAGUUGUGAACCAGAUUUUCCUCCAUAAGAUUGUGACUCAUACAAUUAAAGAUCAUAUGGACAAUUCUCUACGCUCUAGUCUGAUUUAUUGGAGGAAUAUUGCAGAUCUCCAGAGGCAGAAACGCUAGGCAGUGUUCCACAAUCAUAGCUUGCAGCAUUAAAGACCUUAGAGAAGAGGAAUCCAUAGAAAAUUACAUCCCUUAAAAAUUUCAUCCACCACUGAGAACCAGCUUGCUGAACCCAACCUGACAAAUACGACCCAGUGAUGAGCCCAGCAACACGCCACCUCCUUUCUUUCACAUACCCAUCUAUAGCUCUGGCUACGUCCUCCUCAACAAGAACUUGUCUAUUCUUGAUAAAAGAAUUUCCUAUGUGCCUGCCCAAUACAAUUGCAUCCUCUAGAGCUGAACAUCCACCUUGUCCUAGAUCAGGCGUCAUUGGGUGCAUAGCAUCACCUGCCACUGUGAUAUUUCCUUUGCUUGGAUUUCCAAAUAUGAGAUUCCAUGGAGUUCUCAACAUCAAUGGAGCCCAUGUCAAUGUUGAGAGAUCAGCAUGUCGGACUACGUCUAAGUAUUGUGAUGGAAAAUUCUUUGCAUACUUCUCAAUCACUUGUUUCUGUAUUAGUUCUGGGUCUCUUGCCAUGUUUUCUCCUGAAAUGAAAAUAGAACAUUUUUCUUUUCAAUCCAAUGGUUCAGAGCUAAUGGGAAUUGGGAACAAAAUGACGGAUAAAAGAAAGCAGUGAAGAGAAUUGUACUUAACCUUCAGGGCAAUAAGUUAAAAACCAGUAAAUUUCUUUGUGGUUUAAAGGGACGAAACCAGCCCUUUUGCCAACAUCCACAAAUUGCUCGACUUCUUGCUUCAUCCCAUGGCCUUGUGGAAAAAUUGCCAAUCCACGCACUGCUGCUCGACCUGAAUGAAUUGGAGCAGAGAGUCCUAGCCAUUUGGCCACCACAGAGUUCACCCCAUCACAACCGAUCAAAACCUUUGAUUUGAUAGUAGUUCCAUCUUCCAAAUGAAGUACACAAAUGGAAGAAUCUCCAAGUUCUUGCUUUUCAAUAGCCGUGAACUUUGAAGAAAAUCGAAUUGAAUCUUGAGGCAAUUCUUGUGCUAGAGCCUCUAAUAAAGCUUUGCGAUGAACUGAUCUGGGUCCCUGAUGAGCUUUGCUUCCGUUUCCAGAGAAGAAGAUUUCUUGAACAGCUCCAGUAGCUACUCUGGUUACAGACCCCCUUAUGGUAGGAGUAUAAAGGGGAGUAAGUUUAUGAGAAACGCCAAGAGCAUCAAGGGCAAGCCAAGCAUUUGGAAAGAGAGUUAAGGCUGAACCAGUGGACCUUAACGUUUCUGAUCUUUCUAAGAUCAAAGCUCGAACCCCAACUCUCUUCAAAGCUACAGCAGUGGCCAGCCCAGCAAUCCCAGCACCAACGAUCACCACGUCUUCGACAAUUUCCAUCACUGUGUCCUCUAUUCUCUGUUUGGUGGCGUAUAGUAAUGUGUACAUAUAUAUAAUGCAACUGCAUCUAUAAUUUAUAGAACCUCAUAGAGACAUCAUAUUUGACAGGAUUUGAGCAUACUACUUUCAAUGCUACAGUGAAUGGAGCCAGAGAUCAUAAUUUUUUUUUAAAUUAUAUUUUAUUAAACCUCUUUUGGAUAAAAAUAUAAAAACAGGGCGGCUAUUUACAU
rnacentral:misc_RNA from 1 species